CAGCAGCCGCGGGAAUACGAAGGGUGCAAGCGUUAAUCGGAAUUACUGGGCGUAAAGCGUGCGUAGGCGGUUUGUUAAGUCUGCUGUGAAAUCCCCGGGCUCAACCUGGGAAUGGCAGUGGAUACUGGCAAGCUAGAGUGUGUCAGAGGAUGGUGGAAUUCCCGGUGUAGCGGUGAAAUGCGUAGAGAUCGGGAGGAACAUCAGUGGCGAAGGCGGCCAUCUGGGACAACACUGACGCUGAGGCACGAAAGCGUGGGGAGCAAACAGGAUUAGAUACCCCAGUAGUCCCUGUCUCUUAUAA
rnacentral:rRNA from 1 species